CAAGUUAAGUUUAAGAAACAUUAUUAUUUACGAUAAUAAUAAGAUUGUGCGAUUCAGUCUGACUUGA
rnacentral:tRNA from 1 species